AGCUUCUCUCACAACAUUAGAUUUCUUUACAUUUUGCUGUUGUGAUUUAUAAUUUUUAAGUCAAUUUUUGGUUUUGUUUCAUUCUUUUGAAGAUUGCAUUAAUGUUUCUAAUUUCUCACCUCUUCCCUUGCUUAGAAUCAUACCUGGACACCUUUUGCCAGAGACUUUUCAGUACUUCCCACUGUAGAAGAUGGAAUAUACUUCACUCCAUAGUUGUUGAGGUAGAUUGUGUGAUUUGCUUUAUUCAAUGGAAUGCCAGCAAACAUAAAGCAAGCAAUGAUUUUAAUUGUCUUAUUUGAAUUAGCCUCUUCUGAUCCUACUAACUAUCCUGAGAGGAUCAUGCAGCAGGAUAUCAGAAUAAAUAAAUAAAUAAUAAAUAUGUAGGGAACACACCUGCAACCAGACUUGAAGUCCAGAUCCAAUCCUGUCUCCUAGUUGCAUCCCAGCUCCUGUUGAUCUGAAACCUAAAAUGAAGAAAACUUGCUUUUAAAAGGCACUGAGAUUUUGAAAUUGUUUACAUUAUCACAGCAAAAAUUGACUAAGACAGAAAUGUAUUCUUAGAAACAUAUUUCUUCUAUGAAAAAUCCUAAAAUGUGGCUAUUACAGGGACUAAAAAAUGGCAACACAGAUUUUGCCGUCAUGAAACAUUUGGCCCCACUCUUACCUGAAAUAACCUGGAGAGUAGAAAUGUACCCAUUGAAUUCAUGUCCCUGAGCAAAGAGGUUUAGUGGAAAAAUGCUAAUAGUAUAAAUGGUUACUAUUUCUAUAUUUGAUAAGAGACAGGGCAUAAACUCAGAAUGUAACUGGCUAGCAUGCAUAUAGAAUUUAAAAAUAAUACAGAAAGCCCAAAUUGUUCAGAGCUUUUGGGAUAUGAAAAGGAAACUAGAUCUCAUCUUUAAAUAGUAGACAAGAAAAUGAAGAAGUACUUGGAAUUGGGAAGUCAUUCUAGAACAUGGCUUUGGGUGGAAGCCUAAGUCGUCACCUUCUUUGCCAAUCUUAAAACAAAAGGCAAUUCCUAGCAGAUGGCUUUAAAGGAGCCUGAGGGCAUGGACUCUCACAAUCUUGGUACACCCAAAGUGGGGACAAUUAAGAAUAAAGAGGAUUGUGGAACCUUUGUCAUACAACAGUGUUUUGUAUUCUCUAUUGUUCCAUGCGUCAAUCUGUAACUAUAGAACUGGGCUGGAGUGAAUUUCCUGGUAUGAAGCUUUCACAACACUUCCAGUUCUGUUGGCCCGACCAUAUUCAUCUGUGAAUUAUCAGAAAGGACUCAGGAGACCCAUGUGUCCUGCUUUCCCUGAUUCUUAAAUUGUUCCCCACAAGUCAUAUUAUCUCCAAAACUGUGUGCCACUAGUAUAGAUCUUCCUUGUCCAUUUUUCUCUAUGGCCUCUUCAGAAGUGAAUGUUAAGGGCCAUGUUCUCCUUGGGGGAUGAACAGCUCCUGUAGUUCACUUACUUCCCAGGACCUCUUGGGUACCCAAAGUUUCAAACAAUCAAAAUAUUUUAAAGUCCAGGAUCUUAAUUUCUUUAAUUGUACCAUUCCCUCAAAAACUCACUAGGCUUCUGAUAUAUUUGCUUCCAGUAUAUACCAUGGGGCAGUUGCCACAGUCAAAUACUUUACAAAAGAAAAUUCCCCAGCCUGAAUUGUUUCUUCUUGCUCCUACUUAUCAUGUCGUUGUCGAACCUGUUGCUUCUGCAGGUUCGCAUUUGUGGGGACUUAUUUCCUUACGUGUUUGGUUGACUGUGAUGCUCAUUCUGCUUUGUGAAAUCAUCUGUUGGGAUCACCCAAGGCAUAUGAUGAGGGUACUUUGAUCUUAUUUUCCAUAUGCCAAUGAGACAUUUGCUCGGGAACCUCAUAUACUUGAUUGCAAAGCGUAUUACUUUUUAAAAAGACUAUUUUAAUAAACAUGAACUGAUGAAAAGAGAUAAUCAAGAAAUUUCUUAACCAUGUGAAAAUUAAGAAAGACAUUUCUUAGAUCAAAGUGAAGACUUCUUACAAACCAUUUAGCAAUGAGUCAAAAGAAGGACAAUUUACUCCUAGUCCUAUGGAGCAAGAGAAUUUUUCAGUGGGACUUGGAGGGUUUAAAUGCCUUCAUUAUUAUGAACAAAAAAGAUUAGAAAUAAAGGAAUUCACAUUUCAUCUG
rnacentral:lncRNA from 1 species